ensembl:ncRNA C04H4.4 ncRNA
UUUGGUCCUUCUUUUUCUCAGUUUUUUUUACCAGAAAAAAUGGCUCUUGAGUGGAAAGCACCACGAAAAGGCGCGAAUCGUUCUCUUUUGCUGUGUGCAUUUUCUGUUGCCGAGUCUCGAGAAAUAGAGAGAUAUCAAAUUGCU